rnacentral:rRNA from 1 species
UACGUAGGGGGCUAGCGUUGUCCGGAUUUAUUGGGCGUAAAGAGCGUGUGAGCGGCCAGGUAGGUCUGGUGUGAAAACUCGAGGCUUAACCUCGAGAUGUCAUCGGAAACCAUCUGGCUAGAGUCCGGAAGAGGAGAGUGGAAUUCCUGGUGUAGCGGUGAAAUGCGCAGAUAUCAGGAAGAACACCUAUGGCGAAGGCAGCUCUCUGGGACGGUACUGACGCUGAGACGCGAAAGCGUGGGGGAGCGAACAGG